rnacentral:tRNA from 1 species
GGGAUCAUAGCUCAGUUGGUAGAGCGUUUGAAUGGCAUUCAAAAGGUCAGGAGUUCGAGACUCCUUGGCUCCACCA